rnacentral:rRNA from 1 species
CCUACGGGUGGCUGCAGUGGGGAAUAUUGCACAAUGGGCGCAAGCCUGAUGCAGCGACGCCGCGUGAGCGAUGAAGGCCUUCGGGUCGUAAAGCUCUGUCCUAAGGGAAGAAUAAUGACGGUACCUUAGGAGGAAGCCCCGGCUAACUACGUGCCAGCAGCCGCGGUAAUACGUAGGGGGCGAGCGUUCUCCGGAAUCACUGGGCGGAAAGGGUGCGUAGGCGGCCCUGAAAGUCAGGAGUGAAAUCCCUCGGCUGAAUCGAGGUCAACGCUUGAAACUGUAGGGCUUGAGUGCAGGAGAGGGGAGCGGAAUUCUUAGAGUAGCGGUGAAUGCCGUAGAUAUUAGGAGGAACACCAGUGGCGAAGGCGGCUCUCUGGACUGCCACUGACGCUGAGGCACGAAAGCGUGGGGAGCGAACAGGAUUAGCUACCCGAGUAGUC